CAGUAAUCUAAAACUAAUAGAAAACAUUUAAGCAACCUACUUGCAUACUGGAUGUGGACUGUUGGAUGCUAAAUUCAUAAGCAGUAAAUUUUGUGCUAAUUAUCAGUAUUGAACCAAAGAAAGCAAGGCAGAUGCAAGCAUUUAAAAUGGUGAUGCUUUUUAUGGGUCAAAUAGACUCAAAAAAUUGUAACAGCAGCUGCACAGGGGGGCCCAAUCUAAUUUUUUGUCAGGGGGCCCAAGAUUUCUGGCAGCGCCCCUGCCCGUCAGUUCGUCAUGUAUUGUUUAGUUG